AUACGGAGGAUCCGAGCGUUAUCCGGAUUUAUUGGGUUUAAAGGGUGCGCAGGCGGCCAUUUAAGUCAGCGGUUAAAUCGUGGGGCUCAACCCCAUUCUGCCGUUGAUACUGGGUGGCUUGAUUGCGGUCGGGGUUGGCGGAAUUCGUUGUGUAGCGGUGAAAUGCAUAGAUAUGACGAAGAACACCGAUUGCGUAGGCAGCUGACCAGACCGCAAAUGACGCUCAUGCACGAAAGUGCGGGGAUCGAACAGGAUUAGAUACCCUGGUAGUCCGCACAGUAAACGAUGAAUACUUGUUUUCGGCGAUAUAAUGUCGGAGGCAAAGCGAAAGCGAUAAGUAUUCCACCUGGGGAGUACGCCGGCAACGAUGAAACUCAAAUGAAUUGACGGGG
rnacentral:rRNA from 1 species